rnacentral:rRNA from 1 species
UCAUAUGCUUGUCUCAAAGAUUAAGCCAUGCAUGUCUAAGUACUUGCCGCUUUAAGGUGAAACCGCGAAUGGCUCAUUAAAUCAGUUACGGUUCAUUAGAAGUUGACCGCUUACAUGGAUAACUGUGGCAAUUCUAGAGCUAAUACAUGCACCAAAGCUCCGACCCUCGGGAAGGAGCGCACUUAUUAGACCAAGACCAAUGGAGAGUUUCGGCUCUCCUAGUUGUGGUGACUCUGGAUAAUUGCGCUGAUCGCAUGGCCUUAGAGCCGGCGACGAAUCUUUCAAGUUUCUGCCUUAUCAACUGUCGAUGGUAGGUUAUGCGCCUACCAUGGUUGUAACGGGUAACGGGGAAUCAGGGUUCGAUUCCGGAGAGGGAGCCUGAGAAACGGCUACCACAUCCAAGGAAGGCAGCAGGCACGCAAAUUACCCACUCCCGGCACGGGGAGGUAGUGACGAAAAAUAACGAUAUGGGACUCUUACGAGGCCCCAUAAUCGGAAUGAGAACACUUUAAAUCCUUUAGCGAGGAUCAAUUGGAGGGCAAGUCUGGUGCCAGCAGCCGCGGUAAUUCCAGCUCCAAUAGCGUAUAUUAAAGUUGUUGCGGUUAAAAAGCUCGUAGUUGGAUCUCAGUCCAAGCCAGGCGGUCCACUAACGGUGGUUACUGUCUGGCUGGGCAUCUUACUGAGCCGUCUCGUGGUGCUCUUAACCGGGUGUCACGAGCGAUCAGUACGUUUACUUUGAAAAAAUUAGAGUGCUCAAAGCAGGCGCAAAGCCCGAAUAAUGUUGCAUGGAAUAAUAGAAUAGGACCUCGGUUCUAUUUUGUUGGUCUUCGGAGCCUGAGGUAAUGAUAAAGAGGGACAGACGGGGGCAUUCGUAUUGCGGCGCUAGAGGUGAAAUUCUUGGACCGUCGCAAGACGAACUAAAGCGAAAGCAUUUGCCAAGAAUGUUUUCAUUAAUCAAGAACGAAAGUUUGAGGUUCGAAGGCGAUCAGAUACCGCCCUAGUUCAAACCAUAAACGAUGCCAACCAGCAAUCUGCCUGAGUUUCUUUAAUGACUCGGCAGGCGGCUUCCGGGAAACCAAAGUUUUUCGGUUCCGGGGGAAGUAUGGUUGCAAAGCUGAAACUUAAAGGAAUUGACGGAAGGGCACCACCAGGAGUGGAGCCUGCGGCUUAAUUUGACUCAACACGGGGAAACUCACCCGGCCCGGACACUGUAAGGAUUGACAGAUUGAGAGCUCUUUCUUGAUUCAGUGGGUGGUGGUGCAUGGCCGUUCUUAGUUGGUGGAGCGAUUUGUCUGGUUAAUUCCGAUAACGAACGAGACUCUAGCCUAUUAAAUAGAGCGCAAUCUCACUUGCGAUUGCGAGACUUCUUAGAGGGACAGGCGGCGAUUCAGCCGCACGAAACAGAGCAAUAACAGGUCUGUGAUGCCCUUAGAUGUCCGGGGCCGCACGCGCGCUACAAUGAGGAGAUCAGCGUGCCGUUGCCUGGUCUGACAAGACCGGGUAACCCAGUGAAACCUCUUCGUGAUUGGGAUUGGAGAUUGUAAUUAUUGUCCAUGAACGAGGAAUUCCCAGUAAGUGCGAGUCAUCAACUCGCAUUGAUUACGUCCCUGCCCUUUGUACACACCGCCCGUCGCUACUACCGAUUGAAUGAUUUAGUGAGGUCUUCGGAUCGGCCGGUGCGGCUGCCUUCGGGUGGCGGCACUGCGUUGAAAAGAUGCCCAAACUUGAUCAUUUAGAGGAAGUA